GGGUGGGCGGUAUGCCGGGCCUCACGGCGCUGCAAUGGGCGUAUAUGCAGGGAAGGGCUGGAGGGUUCAAAUUCUUCUAGUAAGAACUCCUACUUAAUAAAGAGUAGUAAGAAUAAGUGAUCUCCUGCAAGGUGAUUCAAAUGGGUUCCUCGAUUAAAUCACUUUUAUUUGGGACCCUUGUCUUGUGAUACUAUCCCCACCUUUUGGCAACCAUGACAAGUUUUGAUAUAUACAUGGGGACUUAUGCAAUUCC
rnacentral:lncRNA from 1 species